rnacentral:tRNA from 1 species
GCGCCCGUAGCUCAGCUGGAUAGAGCGCUGCCCUCCGGAGGCAGAGGUCUCAGGUCUCGAAUCCUGUCGGGCGCGCCA